CGAAAACUUAUUUGGGCCCAACCAUGGACUUUUUUGGGCCUUAACAACGUGCGAAUAUUCCCCGUGUGGAAUUUAGCUCAAACAUUUUGGUGCUUUCAUUGAGAGCACAAGUUAUACUCAACGCGUGCUCCUGAAUCAAAGGAAUCUGUUUCCUUCUAUUCAUCAGUCAACCAGAGCCUUCCAAACAACUAUGGUUGGAAGCAUGCGCACUCAAAGCAAGGUUGUCGCGACGAUGCAAUCCGCAACGAGCCAUACCAUACUUCUCGAGGUCCCAUGAUCGAGAUCGUGGCCUUCGCAUCCUUGUCGCCACAUGGCCGUGCGGCCAGAUCCGAGGCUAAUCACCACGACGAAGCUGCAGUACACGAUGCAGCCACCACUCGUGGCCAUCUUGGCGCCGCCUCCAAUUACAACCCGAUCUUAGAACAACUCCAUAUGUUCCCUCCUUUGCCACUGCGCUUGAUGAUUGCUCCCUACACCUCCAACGAAACCUUAGCCCGCGUGCAACUGGGCUCCACCCAAUUCUCUCAUCUAGAUCCAAGCAAUCAAGUGGACCAACUCACUCAAAUAGUAGACGACCAAAACAACUUGAUUGGAUAGCUUAUUAGGCAGAUCAAUUUGGUCCAAGACCUUAGCCCUGGAUCCCAUGGUAAAGAGAAAAGGAUGGAAUAGCGCAUGCAGGCAGUUCAAGAGGUCCCAAGCAAGUCAAGCCAGAGCAAGUAGGCAACGAGAAGGACUAGAGCGUGCUGCUCAGCAAGUUGGUAUGUCACAUGCAUCAGCGAGCCUUGCUCAAAGUAGAUCGAGGCAUUCAUGAGAGAUUAGGCUCCUGAGGAGAUCAGCAACGCUCACAUGCUCGGUCCGGAAGAGUCAACUCAUGGCGACAAGCCACAAAGGAUCCCUCGCAAGCUCAGUCCACUAACACGCUGCACAGACAGGACAGCCGAGGAGAUCUGCUCAGUAGAGACAACGAGAUUAGAUCUGUGAACAAACUAAAUUGCUCAAAUCCUUCUAAUCAACUUCAAGAUCAUGGGCAAGCAAUGUCCUUUCUUGUUAAAUAGAAUCACGACCACAAAUACACAAUGAAUCAAUAUUGUUUUUUUAGAAAAUUUAAAAUUGCAUUCAUAAUUCAGCCAAAAAAGUCAAUAGCUGGCCACAAAAGACUAGUACUAUGUUAAAUGCUAAGUAAGAAAAUUAGCACCACUGCUAUAUUUAAGCCUAAACUUCUUUUUUUCCACAACUUCAUCCUACACAUCCUAUCAAAAAAUAUAUUUAAAAAUAAAAAAUAAAAACAUUUUC
rnacentral:lncRNA from 1 species